rnacentral:lncRNA from 1 species
CGAAUAACAAGAGUAGUAAUUAGUAGGAGAAGGAAGGGAAGAAGGUAGCUUACUAAGUAGAAGAGAUAAGUGCUGGCAGCAAGGUGGAGCGGAGUGAUCGGCGAGCGGGUCCGGUGAGCGGUGCGUCGGAGGCGAGUCCGGCUAGGCAAGAUGGUCCAGCGAAGAAGAGGGGUUCCGGUGAGCCAUGGAGGGGAGUAGGGCAUCGUUGGAGAGGGAGAAGGGGAAGAUCUCGAACGAAUCUAGGGAGCAGAGGAAGUAGUAAUACUUCGGCCUGAUGGAGCGGAAUGGUCGAAGCGCGGAUCGGAGGGAAAAGGCGAGCCCGCGACCCGGUGGGUAGUGGAUAGUGCAGAGAAGGGGGACCCGAGAUCCUAUUACUCGUUAUCAGGCAGUAUUGGACCAGUCAAGCUCAGACGGAGGCCCAUCAACCACCAAUAGCAGCCCAGCGAGCCAACACCUUUAUUUAUCAUUUUUGCUGUUAUCACCCCCACAUAGUUGUUAAUUUCAUUUCAGUACUGAUAGGUUAGACGUAUAUAUAUAUCGUGAACUGUAAUGUAAGGGGACAUGAUGAAAUAUAUUACAAGUUCUUCUUCCUCAAUCUCUCUUUUCUUCUCUAUCUCUCUUCUAUCCCUAACCCUCUCAACUCUACUCUCUUCUCUUCUUAUUCUUCCCAAUUCUCUCUUCUCUUCACCCUCAAUUUCUCCAAUUCUUUACCUUACCUGCAAUUAGAAGAGUUCCCUGGCUCGGAAGCUCCCAUCAUCCUCUCCGCCAUACCGGCCUCAGCGAGAUCUCAUCAUAGGCGGUUGCGGAUCGUCAGGGACCCUUACAACUUGGUAUCAGAGCGGCGAGAUCCCAGGGAGGGUUCGCGGGCGUAGUUUACAUACAAUCUAGCUUCAAGUUCUGCCUGACAUUUCAUCGAAUACUCGGCAUUCAUCAGGUAUACCCAACAAACCACUACACCAUCACAUUACCGAGAGGGAGACAAUCAGCGAUAUGCCAGGAUCCGAGGGGGUAAAGCACCGUUCCAUUAAUUGGAGCAGCGCCAAGCCUCAGUAAGACAUCACAGGCAUACCGGCUUAGUUACUGUAGCAUACAUCCAUUCCAGUUCAAGCAAGCAGGGAGCAUACAGAGAAAUCGAAAAUUAAACAAAACCGAGGCGGCAAUUGGGAAAAGAAGUCAAAACCGAUUCACUUUCACACCCGCAAGUAAAAGCAUGGUGGAGGGUACCCGGAUGAAGGAUUUAAGCGACCACAUUAACACACUGGAAGAGAGGUUGCAGCAUUUAAAUACCGAUCAUGAGGCGCGGAUCACCGGACUGGCCCAACAGGUAGCCGCAGCCAGGGAAGAAGGGAAAUCGCAACACGAGGAGAUGCUGAGGAUGUUUGCCGCACUGCAAUCGCAGCUUCAUUCAGUACAAAUUCCCAGAGUGAGCCCACCUGAAGGAAGAAGCCAAGAGCAUGCUCGACCUGGAAGUAGUAACACUCCAAUACAUGUCAGGGAUAAUAAAGGAAAAGGAAUUCUGCCUACACCACUACCCAUGCACGAUCUCGAGGAAGAGGAGCUAGUGCAACAUUGGCCCGCAAGACACGCGGUACCCCAACAACAGUUCAUUCCCUAUCCUAAAUUGGAUUUUCCGCAGUUCAGUGGCGAAGAUCCACAAGGGUGGCUAGAGAGUUGCCGACAAUAUUUCGACCUGUACCAGAUUCCGCGGCAGCAAUGGUUAGGAGUGGCGACCAUGCACAUCUUCGGGAAGGCAAGAGUGUGGAAGCAAGGAUACUUCAUUAAUAGACCAGGGGUGACUUGGGAGGAGUUUACCGAUGCAGUCUGUAAGCGAUUUGCGGACGUGGGGGAGCGUUACGCCAUCCGCGAAUUUAGCAACCACAAACAAACAGGAUCCAUCGAAAGUUACCAAGAAAAAUUUGAGGAGCUGAGAUCACAAUUGUUGCACUACAAUCCGCGUCUGGAGGAAGAGUUCUUUAUCGCAAGCUACAUCAAUGGGUUAAAAGAAGAACUGGUGCCCUUCAUGGACAUAUCACACCCAGCCACUUUGGAGGACGCGUACAGCCAUGCCAAACUACAUGAUCGGGCGCUGACUACCAUGCAAAGGAAGAGCAGGAUCAUCAGUAAAGGAGCGGGGGGUGGUCACCAAUCCUUCAAUGCCUAUAAACCAAAGGAGUAUGGUAGGGCCCAAGCCCAGGGUUCCACUGGAGGCACUAGUCAACAAGCACAAGAGCACAGGCGGCUAAUAGAGCAACGAAGAGCGGCGGGGCAGUGUUUCAAGUGCGGCGACAAAUACCAUCCGGGCCAUCAGUGCAAAAACAAGACCCUUUUCAGCUUAGCCGCCGAGGAUAAUGUGUUAGAAGUGUAUGAUGAAGAUUGUUUACGGGAAGAGGAAGAUGUGGCCGGAGAAGAGGAAGGGAAUAAUCCAGACUCGGAGGAGAAAGAAGAGGUGGGUUUGUCUUUUAACGCGCUGAGUGGGGAAAACUCACCUCAAACGCUUCAAAUUCAGGGCGAAGUGGGGAGCAAGAAGCUAAAGAUACUGGUGGACACAGGGAGUACUCAUAGCUUCCUGGAUUUUCGGGUGGCAAAAGAAGUUAAGGCAAGGAUAGAGUCAGCGGCGCCCCUGACAGUCACUGUGGCCAAUGGGCACAAAAUCAUGAGCAAACUAAGGAGCCCCGGGUUUACAUGGAACAUGAAUGACAGAUCUUACAAGGCUGACUUGCGGAUAAUCCGGCUAGAAGGCUCUAGUGUGAUAUUGGGCAUAGAUUGGUUAAAAACGUAUGGUAAGGUUACUUUUGACUAUAACAAUCACACGGUGUCGCUCGACAAAGACGGACAGCAACUGGUCCUUAAAGGGUUGGCAGUGGGGACAGGCCUAAAGAUGCUUACUGCCAAGGAGUGGAAGAGAGACUGCCAGGAAGGAAUUUGUUGCGCUAUAGCCAAAAUCGCGCAGAUCGGGGAGUGCGAAGAGCAAGUAAUACCUGAGAGCAUUAAAGAGAUACUACAACAGUUUGAAGAUGUGUUCGAGGAGCCGAAGGGAUUACCCCCGACGAGAAGGCAGGACCACCGGAUUCCCUUACAAGGGGCGUCCCAACCAGUGAACAUAAGACCCUAUCGUUAUACCUAUGAGCAAAAGAACGAAAUCGAGCGACAGGUCAAGGAGAUGUUGGAGUCAGGCAUCAUCCAGCCUAGCACCAGCCCAUUCGCCUCACCCGUGCUGCUCGUCAAAAAGAAGGAUAACACAUGGCGGUUUUGCGUCGACUACAGACAGCUGAACAAAUUGACGGUGAAAGAUAAAUAUCCUAUCCCGCUGAUUGAUGAUUUGCUGGACGAAUUGGGCGGCUCAGCUUACUUCUCUAAGAUUGACUUGAGGGCCGGCUACCACCAGAUCAGGAUGGAUCCAGAGGACGUCUCUAAAACGGCAUUUCGGACUCACGCAGGACAUUACGAAUUUUUGGUUAUGCCCUUCGGGCUAACCAACGCGCCGGCCACCUUUCAAUCCAUCAUGAAUGAGGUAUUUGCGGAUUACCUUAGAAGGUAUGUAUUAGUUUUCUUCGACGACAUUCUCGUUUACAGCCGAAACAUCGAAGACCAUAAGGCGCACUUGAGCGUGGUGCUCAGAACAUUGCGCGGGCAACAACUGUACGCGAAGAGGUCCAAAUGCUACUUCGGGCAACAGAGGGUGGAAUAUCUGGGCUAUAUCGUCACCCCGGAGGGAGUGGCAACCGAUCCCAAGAAGGUAGAGGCGAUGGUUACGUGGCCGACACCAACUUCCCUCAAGGGGUUGCGCGGGUUUCUGGGCAUAACAGGGUACUACCGGCGCUUUAUAAAAGACUACGGGAAGUUAAGCAAGCCGUUGACGGAAUUGUUAAAAAAGGAUCAGUUCAAGUGGGGGCCGGAGUCACAAGCUGCAUUCGAGGACCUAAAGGAGGUUAUGACACGAGCUCCAGUAUUGGCGAUGCCCGACUACUCCAGGCCAUUUGUAGUGGAAGUAGAUGCUUGUGGACAAGGAUUAGGGGCGGUGCUCUCGCAGGAAGGGAGACCGAUAGCUUACAUUAGCAAGGCUAUAAGCCCGCGAAACAUGGGUCUCUCCACGUACGAGAAGGAAUUUUUGGCGAUACUGUUAGCAGUCAGUAAGUGGAAGCACUACUUAAGUCCCCGACCAUUCAUAAUAAAAACGGAUCACCAGAGUCUCAAACACCUAUUGGAGCAGAAAAUCACGACGGCCGUCCAGCAAAAAGGAAUGAUCAAGCUUAUGGGGCUAGACUAUACAAUACAAUACAAGGCAGGGAAGGAAAAUAGGGCGGCGGACUCACUAUCCAGAAGAGGAUUUGAGGAAGGGGCUAGCGCGGCGAUCACUACUGUGGUUCCUAGUUGGGUAACCGACGUGGUGGCGAGCUACAAAGGGGACGAGAAAUGCCAACAGAUUAUCGCUAAGCUGUUACUCCAACCGGAUCCACAGUCGAAGUAUGUGUACUCCCAGGAAUUGCUGAGGUACAAGGGGAGGCUAUAUGUUGGAAACCAAGGUGGGGUUCGGAGGAAAAUAAUACAAGAAUUACACUCCUCAGCCCUUGGAGGUCAUUCAGGCAACCGACACACCUACAAGAGAGCUAAGCAGUACUUCUAUUGGCCAGGUCUAAAGAAGGAGGUGGAAGAAUACACUAAAGCCUGCGCAGUGUGCAUACAGAACAAGGUGGAUGGACAACCCUACGCAGGGCUUCUUCAACCGCUGCCGGUACCCGCCCGAGCUUGGCAGGAGAUUACCAUGGAUUUCAUCGAGGCUCUACCGAAAUCGGAGGGCAAGGAUACUGUAUUGGUGGUGAUAGACCGUCUCACCAAGUACGCGCAUUUUAUUUCCCUAACUCACCCUUUUACGGCAUCUAGUGUAGCGCGGGCCUUCCUCGACACAGUCUACAGGCUGCACGGGUUGCCUCGCACCAUCCUGACGGACAGGGACAAGAUCUUUACGAGCCAAAUGUGGCAGGAAUUGUUCAAGCUCCUGCGGGUGAAGCUACUGAUGAGCUCAGCUUAUCACCCUUAAACCGACGGCCAGUCUGAACGGCUCAAUCGCUGUCUUGAGACGUACUUGCGUUGUAUGUGCUUCCAGCAGCCACAUAAGUGGCACAGGUGGUUAACCCUUGCAGAAUGGUGGUAUAAUACCAACUACCAUAGCUCUCUGGAAAUGACACCUUAUCAGGCCCUAUACGGACAUCCACCCCCAAAUGGAUUGGUCGUCAACCUGGGACUGGAGACUGCGCCUUCGAUACAGGAGUGGGGCAAAGGACACGAAGAGAUUCUCCGGCUACUAAGGGAGAAACUAUUACAGGCACAGAAUAGGAUGAAACAAAAUGCUGAUAAGAGGAGAGUAGAUAAGAAGUAUGAUGUAGGGGAAUAUGUAUACCUGAAGUUGCAACCAUAUCGACAGGUGAGCGUGGCGGUUCGGCGCAACCUGAAGCUUACAGCGCGCUACUAUGGGCCAUUCAAGAUAACAGAGAGGAUCGGAAAGGUCGCCUACCGACUGCAGUUACCAGAAGGUUCCAAAAUCCACCCAGUGUUUCACGUGUCCCUGCUGAAAAGAAGCCCGCCUGCGACCUCACCGACAACUCCGACCGUGCCACUCGUCGGAGAAGAUGGCCAGCUCCUAGCACAACCGGAGAAGAUCUUAGACAGGCGCAUGGAAAGACAGGGCAACCGAGCGGUAAGUAAAGUCUUGGUGAAGUGGGAGAACCUGGACGAAGAGUCGGCCACCUGGGAAGAUUACUGGUUCCUAAAGUCUCAGUUUCCGGACUUCGAUCCGGAAGUGAAUCCGUGAGGACACGGAUUUUUUCGAAGCAGGGGGGAGUGUAAGGCCUGCGAAUAACAAGAGUAGUAAUUAGUAGGAGAAGGAAGGGAAGAAGGUAGCUUACUAAGUAGAAGAGAUAAGUGCUGGCAGCAAGGUGGAGCGGAGUGAUCGGCGAGCGGGUCCGGUGAGCGGUGCGUCGGAGGCGAGUCCGGCUAGGCAAGAUGGUCCAGCGAAGAAGAGGGGUUCCGGUGAGCCAUGGAGGGGAGUAGGGCAUCGUUGGAGAGGGAGAAGGGGAAGAUCUCGAACGAAUCUAGGGAGCAGAGGAAGUAGUAAUA